rnacentral:lncRNA from 1 species
GAAUGGCGUGAACCCAGGAGGCAGAGCUUGCAGUAAGCCGAGAUCACCUCACUGAGCUCCAGCCUGGGCGACAGGGUGAGACUCUGUCUCAAAAAAAAAAAAAAAGUGUCCAACAAAUGUUUCGUAGUUACAGUAGUAAGAGUAAGAGGAAGCUCUUUCUAAAAGCAUAUCUGUCUGAACAUGAAAUGAUAGUGGCCUUCCUCCCUGUGGGAAGUAUGCAAGGACAGUGAGCUACCCCUUUAAUAGAAUACUGUUAACAGAUAGGAAUGCUGGAAUUAAUAAGCAUCCAAGUGACCUUCCAUUCCUAACAGAAACUAUGUUUGUUGUGCUUGAGUCUGGGACACUUCCUCCUGCCUGGCAUAAGACAGCCUGCAGGAAAGUUGUGGGCAGAGAGACCCAAGGUGCAGAGUGUCCCUCGGGAUGUCUGGAACAGAAGUGGUGCAGUUCAGGGUCUGCUGAUUGCAAAUGUUCAUCCACGCAGACCCCCAAAGACCUAGUUCCCCUUGCAAGUGCCUGCAUUUUCCUCAAUCCCACCUGUUCAAACUCAUGCCUACCUACCUUUCUCAUUAGGAAAAUCUGGAAGAAAAUGGCCCUAGGAAUUUAUGAACCUCUUUUCUCCAAAAUAUUUGCUUCUUAAGAGAAGCGAUGUUGGCUUCAAAUGGUGUCAUUCCAAGUAUGGGGAGUAAUUUGAGAAAUAGGUAGGAGUUUGAAAUCAUCCCAGAAAGGUCAAUCCUCCUAAUAGUCACACCUGGAAGGGCCAGCAAAAGAAAAAUUGAUGUUGUUUGUGUCACUGGCUGUGCCCAAAAAAAACUAGUAGAACUUUCAUGGUGCAAAGGUAAAUGUAGGCACUUAUUCAAGGCUCACUUAAGGAGAAAAGAGUUGUUAUACGAGGCCUGAUCUUUUCUGGGUAUUUUGUUUUCCUGCAGGUGGUAAAGGCAUUUAUAGUCCUUACUCCAGCCUACUCCUCUCAUGACCCAGAGGCACUAAUGCGGGAACUCCAGGAGCAUGUGAAAAGGGUGACUGCUCCAUACAAAUACCCCAGGAAGAACUGCCAAAGACGGUUUCUGGAAAGAUCCAAAGGAGUAAAUUGCGAAGUCAGGAGUGGGGGAAAUGAGGUGCAACCCCAGGAAGGCCCCGUAGACCUCC